rnacentral:rRNA from 1 species
GACGAACGCGGCGGCGUGCUUAACACAUGCAAGUCGAACGAAGAGCGACGGAAGCUUACUUCUAUCAAUCUUAGUGGCGAACGGGUGAGUAACGCGUAAUCAACCUGCCCUUCAGAGGGGGACAACAGUUGGAAACGACUGCUAAUACCGCAUACGAUCUAAUCACGGCAUCGAGGAUAGAUGAAAGGUGGCCUCUACAUGUAAGCUAUCACUGAAGGAGGGGAUGCGUCUGAUUAGCUAGUUGGAGGGGUAACGGCCCACCAAGGCGAUGAUCAGUAGCCGGUCUGAGAGGAUGAACGGCCACAUUGGGACUGAGACACGGCCCAGACUCCUACGGGAGGCAGCAGUGGGGAAUCUUCCGCAAUGGACGAAAGUCUGACGGAGCAGCGCCGCGUGAGUGAUGACGGCCUUCGGGUUGUAAAGCUCUGUUAAUCGGGACGAAAGGCCUUCUUGCGAAUAGUUAGAAGGAUUGACG